rnacentral:rRNA from 1 species
UACGUAGGGGGCAAGCGUUGUCCGGAAUCAUUGGGCGUAAAGCGCGCGUAGGCGGCCCGGUAAGUCCGCUGUGAAAGUCAAAGGCUCAACCUUUGAAUGCCGGUGGAUACUGUCGGGCUAGAGUCCGGAAGAGGCGAGUGGAAUUCCUGGUGUAGCGGUGGAAUGCGCAGAUAUCAGGAGGAACACCAAUAGCGAAGGCAGCUCGCUGGGACGGUACUGACGCUAAGGCGCGAAAGCGUGGGGAGCGAACAG